UGAUGACGAGACGCUAAGGCGUUGAAGCAGUGUAUGUCAGACUUCCAAGAAAAGCUCGCAAUGUCACAAAUAAACAAUGCCUGUACCAUAACCGACACAGGUGGGUAGGUAGAGUAUACUAAGGGGCGCGAGAUAACUCUCUCUAAGGAACUCGGCAAAAUGACUCCGUAACUUCGGGAGAAGGAGUGCCUUAUUUAUAAGGUUGCAAUAACAAGAUCCAAGCAACUGUUUAUCAAAAACACAGGUCUCCGCUAAGUCGUAAGACGAUGUAUGGGGGCUGACGCCUGCCCAGUGCCAGAAGGUUAAAGAAGUUGGUUAGUGUAUGCGAAGCUGAUGACUGAAGCCCUGGUGAACGGCGGCCGUAACUAUAACGGUCCUAAGGUAGCGAAAUUCCUUGUCGGGUAAGUUCCGACCCGCACGAAAGGCGUAAUGAUUUGGAUACUGUCUCGGAGAGAGGCUCGGUGAAAUAGACUUGUCUGUGAAGAUGCGGACUACCUGCACCAGGACAGAAAGACCCUAUGAAGCUUUACUGUAACUUGAAAUUGGAAUUGGACUUUGCUUGCGCAGUAUAGGUGGGAAGCGUUGAAAAUAUUCUUGCGGGAGUAUUGGAGCUAUCAGUGAGAUACCACUCUUGUAAUGUUAGAUUUCUAACUUUGAACCAUAAUCUGGUCAAAGAACAGUUUCAGGUGGGCAGUUUGACUGGGGCGGUCGCCUCCCAAAUGGUAACGGAGGCGUACAAAGGUUUCCUCUGAACGGAUAGAAAUCGUAUCUAGAGUGUAAAGGCAUAAGGAAGCUUGACUGUGAGACCUACAAGUCGAGCAGGGACGAAAGUCGGUCUUAGUGAUCUGACGGUACUGAGUGGAAAGGCCGUCACUCAACGGAUAAAAGUUACUCUAAGGAUAACAGGCUGAUCUCCCCCAAGAGUUCACAUCGACGGGGAGGUUUGGCACCUCGAUGUCGGCUCAUCGCAUCCUGGGGCGGUAGUACGUCCCAAGGGUUGGGCUGUUCGCCCAUGAAAGCGGUACGCGAGCUGGGUUCAGAACGUCGUGAGACAGUUCGGUCCAUAUCCGGUGUAGGCGCUAGAAUAUUGAGAGGAGCCUUCUUUAGUACGAGAGGACCGAGAAGGACACACCGCUGGUGUACCAGUUAUCGUGCCAACGGUAAACGCUGGGUAGCUAUGUGUGGAGUGGAUAACCGCUGAAAGCAUCUAAGUGGGAAGCCUACCUCGAGAUGAGUAUUCCC
rnacentral:rRNA from 1 species